rnacentral:rRNA from 1 species
UACGUAGGGUGCGAGCGUUGUCCGGAAUUACUGGGCGUAAAGAGCUCGUAGGUGGUUUGUCGCGUUGUCCGUGAAAACUCACAACUCAAUUGUGGGCGUGCGGGCGAUACGGGCAGACUGGAGUACUGCAGGGGAGACGGGAAUUCCUGGUGUAGCGGUGGAAUGCGCAGAUAUCAGGAGGAACACCGGUGGCGAAGGCGGGUCUCUGGGCAGUAACUGACGCUGAGGAGCGAAAGCGUGGGGAGCGAACAGG